rnacentral:RNase_P_RNA from 1 species
GCCGCUCCCCGGACGGUCGCAAGGACGCGCAAGCGUGCUUGAGGAAAGUCCGGACACCAUAGGGCAACGUGCCUUGUGAAAGCAAGGAACGGCAGUCGUGAGACUGCCGGAUGGAAAGUGCAACAGAAAGCAUACCGCCGAUGGCCCGCAAGGGCACAGGUAAGGGUGAAAGGGUGGAGUAAGAGCCCACCGCGCCAAGGGUAACCAAGGCGGCACGGCAAACCCCACGUGGUGCAAGACAUAACAGGGGAAGGGCGGCCCGUCCGUUAACUCCGGGUAUUAGUCGCAUCCCGCGCAAGCGGGGCGUUUCGCCUCGGCGAAGUGAGAGAAAUGACCGUCCAACCCCGCGCGAGCGGGGCGGACAAAAUCCGGCUUACAGGGGAGCG